rnacentral:rRNA from 1 species
UGGGGAAUAUUGGACAAUGGGCGCAAGCCUGAUCCAGCCAUGCCGCGUGAGUGAUGAAGGCCUUAGGGUUGUAAAGCUCUUUCGCCGGUGAAGAUAAUGACGGUAACCGGAGAAGAAGCCCCGGCUAACUUCGUGCCAGCAGCCGCGGUAAUACGAAGGGGGCUAGCGUUGCUCGGAAUCACUGGGCGUAAAGCGCACGUAGGCGGAUCGUUAAGUCAGGGGUGAAAUCCUGGAGCUCAACUCCAGAACUGCCCUUGAUACUGGCGAUCUCGAGUUCGAGAGAGGUUGGUGGAACUCCGAGUGUAGAGGUGAAAUUCGUAGAUAUUCGGAAGAACACCAGUGGCGAAGGCGGCCAACUGGCUCGAUACUGACGCUGAGGUGCGAAAGCGUGGGGAGCAAAACAGGAUUAGAUACCCUGGUAGUCCACGCCGUAAAACGAUGGAUGCUAGCCGUUGGGGGGUUUACCUCUCAGUGGCGCAGCUAACGCCUUAAGCAUCCCGCCUGGGGAGUACGGUCGCAAGAUUAAAACUCAAAGGAAUUGACGGGGUCAAAGCUGUUUCCUG